rnacentral:rRNA from 1 species
GAUGAACGCUAGCGGGAGGCCUAACACAUGCAAGCCGAGCGGUAGAGUCCCUUCGGAGUCUUGAGCGCGGCGCACGGGUGCGGAACAAGUGUGCAACCUGCCUUUAUCUGGGGGAUAGCCUUUCGAAAGGAAGAUUAAUACCUCCUAAUAUACUGGAUGUCAUCCUCUGGUAUUGAAAACUCCGGUGGAUAGAGAUGGGCACGCGCAAGAUUAGAUAGUUGGUGAGGUAACGGCUCACCAAGUCAGCGAUCUUUAGGGGGCCUGAGAGGGUGAUCCCCCACACUGGUACUGAGACACGGACCAGACUCCUACGGGAGGCAGCAGUGAGGAAUAUUGGACAAGGGGUGAGAGCCUGAUCCAGCCAUCCCGCGUGAAGGACGACGGCCCUAGGGGUUGUAAACUUCUUUUGUAUAGGGAUAAACCUAGAUACGUGUAUCUAGCUGAAGGUACUAGACGAAUAAGCACCGGCUAACUCCGUG